rnacentral:lncRNA from 1 species
GUAGUGGACCGUUUAGAGCCGCAUGGAGUUUGUUACGGAGAGUAGUGGCAUCAGGGGUCGUUCAGGGCCACGUGGAGCUUGUUAUGGAGAGUGGAGUGGUGUCUGUUGUCGGGACUUGUCAAAGAGUGGUGGAGCUGCAUGGAAUCUGUUGCAGAGAGUGGAGCAGGAUGGUGGCUCUUGUCGUGGCUUAUCAGAGAGUGGUGGAACCCCAUGGAAUCCAUUGCAGCGAGUGGAGUAAGGUAGUGGCCCUUGUUGUGGCUUGCGAGAGAGUUCGGAUCUGUCGGCUGAAGCUUGGCUGGGAUGCCUGAUGGAGCAGAAUGGCUCUUUAUAUCGUCGUUCUAGGAGAGGCUCGGAUGUUUCGAAGUCGCUGAUGAAUCUACUAUUGUCGGAUGCUUCGGGUGCUGACGUUUCAGGUGGGAGUCACCUGUUGUGGGAGCUGGACGGAGAUUUUUUGUUGACGAAGUCCGGAGAAGUCCGGUCACUAGGGAAGUCCAUCUGGGAUUUAUCUGAUGUGGAAGCUCAUCCGAAGAUCGUCCGUCGGAGAAGUCCGAUUUUAUG